CUGAGCCGAAGUCAGACGCUCAACCGACUGAGCCACUCAGGCGCCCCAGCUUUUCUGAUUCAUACAUCAGAAUCAGAGGUGCAACUGGCAAAACUCCAGGUGCGUUGAAAAGCCCGGGUAGGUACAGUAUCGUCAGGCCAGGCUACUGAGCUGGCCCAGCUGUUAAGCCAGGUGUUUGCCCAUCGGCCAAUGUGCCACAAAAGGCCCCUGGAUCCUUUCUGCUGCGUCCCGCUACCCUGGACUGCUCCGUGCUCCCCCCUCCCAUCCCCCUCCAUAUGUCUCCACCAACCCACGGAUCCCCACACACAUCUCACUGUAUCAGUGAGAACUUCUGUGACCCCUUCAGCAAGAAAGGCAACCCUUCCGGCUUCUGGCUUCCUCCAAUCCUUGCUGCCUUGCACUCAUUUCUUUCUUACUGUUUUCUGCACGGUACUUCUCCUUCCACCAAGAAAUGUGAGAAGUGCUCUUGAUGAAACGGUAGCCUCCAAUUCUACUCCUGGGCAAAGUGUCUUAGUUUGUUCAGGCUGCUAUAACAAAAUAGCACAGACAGAGCAGCUGAGACAACAGACAUUCAUUUCUCAGAGUUCUGGAGGCUGGGGAUUCUGCCCAAGAUCACCGUGCCGGCAGAUCUGGGGUCUGGUGGGGACCCGUUUUCUGGCUUCCAGGUGGCCGUCUUUCCAUGGCAUCAUAACCCGGUAGAGAAGGAGGACACAAGCUCUGGCCUGUCUCUACUUACAAGGACAAUUCAUGAGGGCUCCACCCUCAAGACCUAAUCACCCCCCAGAGCCCCACCUCUCGGGAGUACCAUCACCCUGGGAAUUAGGGUUUCAACAUCUGAAGUUUGAGGAGACACAAACAUUCAGUCUGCAGCAAGCUUCCCGCUUCCAGCCGGGGUUUUCCUGAUUUUCAAUGGCAGAAUUAAACUCAUCUUAGACAUUGCAGCAAAUUCACACGAAAGCCCCUGUCCAUAUCGUGAAUGGCAACACUGCAAGCUCUGUGCUUGAACCCUGAUGAAACUCCUACAAUCCUCAGGCCGAGCUCUAUGCAGAACAAGUGCCGAGGCUCCUUGUAUCGCCCCCCCUCCCCCCUCCUGUCUCCCUCUCCCCCUCCCCCCAGCGCCACCUCUGUGUUUCAUUUGUGCUCCUUACGGUCUUUCACACACCCUGCAGGAUUCACCUGCUCCAGCACACCAUCACUCUUGCUGGCUUCUCUGCCCACCAUUUCCUGCACCUUUUAUGUGGUUUUGAUGUUUGCAGCCGGGGGACCCAGGACCACAGCUCAGGUGCCUGGAGAGACCCAUCCAGACCCUUAGCCUCCAGCUAGUCCACGGGGCCAACUUCUCCUUGGACCCCUCUAGCCUGAGCAACUGUCCAAAGCUCCAGGCAGUUUCCAAUCCCGCCCUGAAGAGGCGUGUGCUUUGCAGGAACUUCUGACCAAACUAGCUGCUUCCGCUCAGCUGAGGCGCACAAAGGCAGUCACAUUGAAACAGGCUUAUGUGUGUAGAUGGCUGUGCAGAGCAGAACCCGAGCUAAAGGGUAUACUUCCUGGCCUGAGGCAUAAACACCACAUAUACUUUUUUUUUCUCCUUUCAUAAGGGAUAUUUUUCAGGCUUGUAAUGAAGUGUGGUCAGAAUGUAUUCGCUUCUAGAAUAUUAAGCCAGGCAGAGGUUUUUUUCCUUUUUUCUCUUUUAUACAUGUGAAUAAAAGUGGAGUAAACAGAGCAUACUGAUAAAUAUUUUACACAAAUGUCAGUGGAUGUAAUUCUAGAGCAGACAUUUUUCUGGGGGAUUUGGUGUUGGUUUAAAAGGAAAGGCAGGAGAUCAGACUAGGUACCUUUAGCAGUAGCUUCACAGAGUUUGGGUUGGGAAAAGCACAGAAAUGGUUUUUUAAAUUUUCAGGAUUUCCACUUGGAAGUUACCAAGGUUGAAAAAUACCAAACUGCGGAAUGCUAAAACUGUAGAUUCUUUUGGUCUUCCUUACGAGGACCCCUGUUUCUGUGCCUGCUCUCCACGUGGCUGAAGAAUCAAGAAAAAAUGUUGUGCGGGACACUUGGGUGGCUCAGACGGUUAAGUGGCUGCCUUUGGCUCAGUUCACGAUCUCACGGUUCAUGGGAUUGAGCCCCACAUCAGGCUCUUUGCUUGGUUCAGAUCCUCUGCUUCAGAUCCUCUCUCUCCCUCUCUCUCUCUGUCCCUCCCCUGCUCAUGCUCUCAAUCUCUCAAAAAAAAAAAAAAAAAAGUUGCAGAUGGGCUUAACCCUUCCCUGUAGGGCAGCUCUGACAGAGGCCUUUUCCUGUAUGAAAUUCCCCAAGAUUUCAGAAGAUAAAAUGUGUGUGUGUAUCUCUGUGCGUGGGCACAAAUACAUAUAUGCACACGCAUACCUGUGUGCACGUGUUUGUAUAUACAUACACAUCUGCACAAGUGUGUGUAUAUACAUUUUUUUUUUCUUCUUGAAACACCCAUUUCCAACCUCCCUGUCCCUACCUGGGCUCAUUUUUGUAAAACCUCCUUGUUCUGUCCCCACCCUUGCAAUUCAAAGGGGCUUUCUUCCUCUUCUGUUGUAUGUGUUAACUCCUGCUCGCUUGUGAUAAGAUGUAUUCAAAUUCAGUGCUCGCAAAAUUCAGAGACCGAUUUUAUUCCACCUCCAGUCUGGGUUUUCCCACGUGUCGGUGCUUCUUGAGUUAGUUACCGCUCUGGAAGGUCAGCAGCAAUCACUGGGUGAUGAUUGAUGCGGGGUGCUUGGGGGUGGACAGGGAGGAUCAGGGAGGAUCCAGGAGUGAGCCGUCUUGCAUUUCGUUCUCAUCAUUGCAGAGGAGAAUAGUAGUUGUUCAAAUGAGGCCCCGAGAAGAAGGGCCUGGACUCCUACCUGGCCAGUGCCUCAAGGUCAGCUCGUGCCUGUCAUCAGGGAGGGUCUGUGUCUGUCUCUCUGAAUCCCUCCUGUGCUUCUUCUAGUUCUGUUGUGUGGGGGUUUUUUUAAGUUUAUUUAUUUAUUUUGAGACAGACCGAGACGGUAUGAGGGGAGGGGCAGAGAGAGAGAGGGAGAGAGAGAAUCCCAAGCAGGUUCCUCACUGUCAGCACAGAGUCCGGCAUGGGGCUCGAACUCAUGAAACCACGAGAUCAUGACCCGAGCUGAAACCAAGAGUCAGUCACUGAACCAACUGAGCCAGACAGGUGCCCCCACUUGUAGUCCUAUUUUGAAAGGACUGAGCAACCUCUUCUGCCUACUUCUUGGAUGGGGCUCCUUUCUGAACAUGACUCCAUGUCAAAUACCCUGCCAGGGUGUAGACCACAAUGAGCACCCAGAAAAUGGGGACCUGAAGGGGCGCCUGGGUGGCGCAGUCGGUUAAGCGUCCGACUUCAGCCAGGUCACGAUCUCGCGGUCUGUGAGUUCGAGCCCCACGUCAGGCUCUGGGCUGAUGGCUCGGAGCCUGGAGCCUGUUUCCGAUUCUGUGUCUCCCUCUCUCUCUGCCCCUCCCCCGUUCAUGCUCUGUCUCUCUCUGUCCCAAAAUAAAUAAACGUUGAAAAAAAAAAAAAAUUAGAAAAUGGGGACCUGCUUUAGUCAGCUUGGGCUGCUAUAAGAAAGGACACAGACACAGACACAGUGGCUUAACCAGCAGGAAUUUAUUUUCUCGGUUCUGGAGGCCCGAAGUCCAAGAUCAAGGUACCGGCAGGGGUGGUUCCUUCUGAGGCCUCUCCCCUUGGUUCAUGGGUGGCUGGCUUCUCUCUGUGUCCUCACAGUGGCCUUUCUUACUUUCCUCUUCUUAUAAGGACACCAAUCAUAUUGGAUUAGGGCCCACCCUUAUGACUUCAUCUUAACUUAAUUAUCUCUUCAAAAACCCCAUCUCCAAAUACAUACAUCAUAUCCUGAGGUACGGGGAGUUAGGAUUUUAACGUAUGAAUUUUGGUGACACAACAGAGCUGCUGUUAACUCUUCCCAGAAAGAGGCUUGAAAUCUUCAAUAUCAUUCUUCUUGACACUCUCCCCAGGAGGUAGUUCUGUGUGGCUGAGAGAACUCAGGUUCUAGAAUCAGCCGGAACUGGAUUUGAAUCCCAGAUUGGUCCUUUCUAGCUGUGUGCCCUUAGGUCGGUUACUUAAUGUUUCUGAGUUCCAGUUUCCUCUGCUGACAAAUGGGCCACAACCCACACACCUUAGGAGCAGCCCAAGGAUUCAAUAUAAUGACGUAAAAGAGCCUGGCAUGCUACCUGGUUCGAGACGCAUGUCUCCUACCUUACCUCUUGACUCAUUCACUUCUCGGAGGUCCCCAAGCACAUGCCCAUCUAGAGAUCAGACAGGUACAUUUAUUUCUGACCAAGAGAGCAAUUGCCUGCUGGGUCAAUAGCUUAUGCGCCCCUCAGGAUAUCUCAGAACCUCAAGGGAAGGAUCUUUGUCUCCUGGGGCCCCGCGCUGUUCCUGGAUCCCACAUGCACAGCUGAACCUGCUUUGUGCUCCUGGACCUUCCCUCCAGCAGCUCCUUCCCCUGCUGGGCUGGGGGUGGGGGAGGGCUAGGGAGCCUCAACUCCAAGGGUGCUUGUCCCAGGGCAGGCAAGGGGAGGGCAGAGGUCUCCUGGUGGAGAGGCCAACGUGGCCACAGAAAGAAAUCGAAAUGCUCGAGCCUUGGAUUGGGGCCAAGGCAAAUCUGCUUGUACUAGGUUGUCAGAUUCCAGGGAUGAGCAGUUUCCCAGGCUGUGGAAGGUGACCUAUGGCUUGUCAGGAGAGCCAGAAGCAAUUGCUAAGAGCAGUUGAGGAGAGUGAGGGCGACAAGGGAGAGUGCCAGAUUCGCUGGGAGAGCUUGGCUCUCCUUGCUUUAGAAGGCAGUGUAUGGAGGACAUCCCUGAAGAUAGAGAAGGAGUUUCUAGAUCAGAAGGCAUGUUGCAGGGCUGCUGGAAUCAGCACUUUCCAAGUACCNNNNNNNNNNNNNNNNNNNNNNNNNNNNNNNNNNNNNNNNNNNNNNNNNNNNNNNNNNNNNNNNNNNNNNNNNNNNNNNNNNNNNNNNNNNNNNNNNNNNNNNNNNNNNNNNNNNNNNNNNNNNNNNNNNNNNNNNNNNNNNNNNNNNNNNNNNNNNNNNNNNNNNNNNNNNNNNNNNNNNNNNNNNNNNNNNNNNNNNNNNNNNNNNNNNNNNNNNGGUGGCGGUUUUCUCUCUUGCCUCUCUUUUGCCUGUUCCUGCCCUUCCUAGCCUAGUUCCUAACUUCUCCAGAAGGUGCUGAAAUGGGAAAGUUGACAGAGAAGCAACUAGGAUAUGCUUGGCAAGGGUAGGAACUGUGUUAGAGUUAUUUGGGUACUGUGUCCUUAAAAGUACCCCCUUUCUUGGGGUGCCUGGGUGGCUCAGUCCGUUGAGCGUCAGACUUCAGCUCAGGUCCUGAUCUCAAGGUUCGUGAGUUCCAGCCCCGCAUUGGUGUCUGUGCUGACAGCUCAGAACCUGGAGCCUGCUUCCGAUUCUGUGUCUCCCUCUCUCUCUGCCCUCCCCUGCUCAUGCUCUCUCUCUCUCUCAAAAAGUAAAUAAACAUUGGAAAAAAAUUAAAAAUAAAAAAGUACCCCCUUUCUUCCCAAUGCAGCAGAAAAGAGACAAAGGUUGGGUAAACACUGGUCAUUCCAUAGCCCAAGCGUCUGCCGGAAGCUCCGCUGGGGAGCGGGGAAGAGAAGUGGUGCACAGGCAGAGGAAUCCCCAGCCCUCUCCCUACAUCCAUGAAGACGCAGAUGUCUCUUGGCCCAACCAUCUCCCACCAAAACGGGUGGUGCGUCCACAGCCUUUUCCCCACACUGCUGCGGGAUUAACUUUCUUAAACACAGCUCCGAUCGUACCUCUUGAUUUUAAACGUCUGAUGACUCUAUUGCUGGCCACGUUCAAGGAGUCUACCCCGAAACAUCUGCUUCCUCUCCCAACAUCUUUGACCCUUUGUCCGGAGUCACCCUUUGCCCUGUGUCUUCCUUGGAUGUGCUCUGUAUUUUCUCUCCUGAGCGCUUUGGCUCACACGUGUCCUUCUCCCGGGUCUCUCCAGACAGCCGAAAGAAGCGCGCGCCCCGCUCUGCGCAUGCGUGGACGAAUUUGCACGCUGUGUGAUUCCCGGUCCGCUCCCACCCGGGCCUCAUGGAACCCAUCGUGGGUCUGUUUGACGGUCACCCCACAUCCGAGUGAUGCAAAACGAGAACAGUAACCCGUCUCAAGAAGAGACUUCAAACUUCCCUUUUGAGUCAACUGGAAAUUUGGACAAAACUUCUGUUGACAUUAUAUCUGCCCCUUUCACUUUCGGUUCACGGAGACGCACUGACAUUUCUGAAAGGAUGUGGCUCUUCCUAGUGUGGCAAACGAUACAUUCAUGCCUAUGCACUUACAGGGAUGGUCUUUGUUCCUUGUCAUGAUCAAAUGCUCUGUUUUCUUGACUCUCCAGCCAAAAGUAAUCCUCUUUUCUUUUCAACUCUUUCAGCACUCCAUUUUUUCUUGAUUCAGUUAACAAACACGCAGGCAUUGUUAUUCUACCAGGCACUGUUAUUUGUACCGGGUGGUGGUGGUCAGCAGGACCAAUUUAUUGGUCAAUAAAUUACGAUGAAAACCC
rnacentral:lncRNA from 1 species